AUCGCUUCUCGGCCUUUUGGCUAAGAUCAAGUGUAGUAUCUGUUCUUAUCAGUUUAAUAAUGAGUCUCUGAGUUGGCACUAGAAAUGACUUGUUGAGGAAAUGCAAUUUGCCAGAGCUCUUGGACAGAGAAGCCUGCUUGGUUGCAAGUGAGAAGCAAUAAGAAUGACACAUCGGAGUGUCAAGAUCCUUUAAUGCACGACUU
ensembl:snRNA LOC120097279 U2 spliceosomal RNA